UCCGCGAUAGCUCAAUGGUGGAGCAUCCGGCUGUUAACUGAAGGGUUACAGGUUCGAUCCGUUAGCUAACGGACUGCUCGCGGAGCCA
rnacentral:tRNA from 1 species